UACGGGGGGAGCAAGCGUUGUUCGGAUUUACUGGGCGUAAAGGGCGCGUAGGCGGCCACCGCAAGUCGACUGUGAAAUCUCCGGGCUUAACCCGGAAAGGUCAGCCGAUACUGCGGGGCUAGAGUGCAGAAGGGGCAACUGGAAUUCUCGGUGUAGCGGUGAAAUGCGUAGAUAUUGGGAGGAACACCAGCGGCGAAGGCGGCUCACUGGACCGGAACUGACGCUGAGGCGCGAAAGCGUGUGGAGCAAACAGG
rnacentral:rRNA from 1 species